rnacentral:rRNA from 1 species
GAUAUGGCUCAGGAUGAACGCUAGCUACAGGCUUAACACAUGCAAGUCGAGGGGCAGCAUUUCAGUUUGCUUGCAAACUGAAGAUGGCGACCGGCGCACGGGUGAGUAACACGUAUCCAACCUGCCGAUAACUCCGGGAUAGCCUUUCGAAAGAAAGAUUAAUACCGGAUGGCAUAUGAUUAUCGCAUGAUAAUCCUAUUAAAGAAUUUCGGUUAUCGAUGGGGAUGCGUUCCA